rnacentral:lncRNA from 1 species
CGGCCGUAAAAAGAAAAUAAAUAAAUAAAUAAAAUGGAAGCUGUCUGCCUUCAGGGGCAAUGAACUUCCUUUUCAAUACUGUUUUCCCUCUUUUGGAACCAUGGACACAUGUCACCCCCCUUUAAAAUCCAUUCUCCUAACAUGCUGAAGCCCUUUCUUUUCUAAUGAAAGAGGGUCUUAAAAACAAUACAUCCAAGAGUUUACAUUAGUUGCCUGUAUUACCACUCCCAGAAGAAGUACAAAGAGAACCCAAAGGAAUGAAUACAAUGGUGAUAUUUCAGACACUGUUGGCUUGAUGAGGGGUCAGGGGACAAGAUAAAAACUGGGGGGCAGUGAGGUUGGAGACACACCAUCUGGUGACUAGGGAAUUAAACACUUAAUGAGCCUGUGAGUUACCUGACUCGCCUGAUAUAAUGAAUGCUUGUGGACUUGGACGCUGAAGCCUGGUGCCAGUCACGACUUAGAAGCUGGAUGGUUGGAGAGAAGGUGCUGCCUCUCUUGACCCAUUUUAUUCACUGAGCAAACAAGAAAGCUUGACCCAUGACCUUUAAAGCCCCUUCUUGUUCUCAAACAACAAACCAAAACUAAAACCAAAACUAAAAAUUAAAAAGUAAUGUUAGUUACAAAGGAGAAUUGAAAAGACGCUGAAACAACAUACUGGGGCUCCCUCUCCCUCUGCUUACGAUCUGCUUCCCUUUAUGCACUGGCUUUAUUUUCUUUCCACGGGAGGAGAAAGGAGAGAAGGAAAGGGGGUGGAGUGGGGAUGGAAGAAGUAUUCUGAGGCCUGCUGCCCAGACCUCUAGACUUGCAUCAUGUUAGUUCAGCAAGGGGAAAAAAGAGGGUCUCAGGGCUCCUGUCGUGGCUCAGCGGUAAUGAAUCUGACUCGUAUCCAUGAGGACCUGGGUUCCAUCUCUGGCCCCACUCAGUAGGCUAAGAAUCUGGUGUUGCUGUGAACUUUGGUGUGGGUUGUAGACGAGGCUCGCAUCUGGUGUUGCUGUGGCUGUGGUAUAGGCCAGCAGGCACAGCUCCAAUUUGACCCCAACACUGGGAAAUUCCACUGCCACAAAAGCAGCCCUAAAAAGCUAAAAAAAAAAAAAGGGUCUCUCUUCCAGCACUUAUAUAUAAAAUCUCCAGGAAGGAUCAUGUCUCUUUCACAUGCCCAUGCUUUAUUGGUCAAACCUAGGCCCUGUUGAGGGCAUGGGGGCGGUGAUGUGGUGAUAGGUAAUGACUUUUACUGUGAUUGUCUCCUCCAAAGAGAACCACAAAGAAGAGGAGAUGUUAUGAUCAGAAGAUGGAAUUUUUCUGGGCAGACAAAAAGAAAUAAAACAAAGAUGUUUGCUCUAUAUAAUUUGCCCCAUUUAUAACGAUAAAGAAGUUGAGACCCAGAGAAGUUAAGCAACUUACCCAAGAGACACAUAGCAUGCAGCUGUCACAGCCAGAUUCAGUCUUAGGUCCAUCUACGUCUGAGGCCCAGGCUCCUUCCACAGUGCCUCCGUGCAUCCUGGUAGUCACAAAACUAUUUUCUCUGCUUUACUUUAAAUGGCAAUUCUUUGUCAUCGUUAUCUUCUGAACUAGAUCAAGAGACGGCUUUUAUUCAUUUGUAGGUCACUUGCUAUUACUGGAAAACUCUUCUAAUGAACCAGUAACUGCUCAACAAGGCACAGGAGAGGGCACCACAGAUAUGGGGCAGGGCAGUCACUGAGCAGGUACUGCCAACAGUGUCAUUUCAUACCAUGAUUUCGAGGGUAGAUAGGACCAAGAGGGAAAUGGGGGGAGGGGUGUCCAACAGAGUCGUAAUGGUCUUAGGUUCCCAUGAGCUGCCCUAAUUGUCUAAGAAGUUGAGCUGUGUGAUAAUGAAAGGUGGGCUUUUAAGGAAGACACUCCCCAAACCUGACAGAUGAUUAAAAGGGUUGGGGGGCACUUAUGUGCAAUGAGUAGGACAUCUCUAUUAAUUGUGCAGAAGAUCUAGAACUUAUCACCACCACAGGAGACACCAGGAACAGAGAGGAUGUCCAGUUUGCUGCUUGUAAGAGCUGCUCACGAAACAAGGACACAAGUACCCUCCCCCCACCCCCAUUAUUUUAUUUACUUAUUUAUUUUCUUUUUUGGCUGCCCCAUGACAUAAGGUGUUCCUGGCCAGGGAUCAGAUCUAAACCUCAGUUGUGACCUAAACUGCAGCUGCAGCAAUGCCAGAUCCUUUAACCCACUGCCGCUGGGCUGGGGAUUGAACCUGUGUCCUGGCACUGCAGAGACACCAAUGAUCCCAUUGCAACAUAGUGGGAACUCCCUACCCCCCAUUACUGCUUGACAUCUAUCCAACCCACACCAUCUCCAUCCUUAAAAGUUGAGCCCUGCUUGUGCUCAGUGUUCCUGGCCCCAGUCAGGGCCUCUUGCUUCUGUCAACAAAGUCAGCCUCAGAACUGGUCCUUUCCUGUAACAAGCGGCAAAAUUGGAGUGAGUUGGCAUGAACAGUGGCAGAAUAGAACUGGUCCUGUUCUGGAAGGAGAAAGAGGAUAGCUCUAGUUUGAUGCCCCAACAUCCUUUGGUUUGUUCACAUUUAAUGGAAAAGGGUAGAUUUGAAGGGUUUUAGUAACCAGAUUGUUCCUGCAGCUCUGAGUGGACAUGGGGAAUCUUAUGACAACAUAACAGGACUGGGAGGAUAAGACCUUAAGUAGCCUCAGAAUGACUGCUGUAAAGCAUGUGGGUGUGUGCACGUGUGCAUACAUGGGUAUGUGCAAGCGGUGGUGUGUAUAUAUAUACACAUGGGUAUAUAUGUAGAGAUCAGAGGGUAAGCCAGCCUUAAUUUUUUUCUUUUUUCUUUUUUACUUUUUUAAAAUUAAAGUUUAGUUGAGUUACAACAUUGUGCCAAUUUCUGCUGUAUAGCAAAGUGACCUAGUCCUACAUAUAUACAUGUGUGUGUGUGUGUAUAUAUAUACACACAUUGCCUUUCUUAUACAUCUUCCAUCAUGGUCUAUCCCAAGAGACUGGAUAUAGUUCCUUAUGCUGUACUGUAGGACCUCCUUGCUCAUCCAUUCUACAUGUAACAGUUUGCAUCUACUAACCCCAAACUCCCAGUCCCUUCCACUCCCUCCCACUCCCCCUUGGCCACCACAAGUCUGUUUGUAUCAGAAUGGAUUUUUUUUUCAAUUAUAAGUAGAGCUAUUAAUUAUUAAGCAUUGAUGGUAGCCAGAUACUCCAGAGGAGUGUCUUGUUAUCUUACUGAAUCCUGUCUUAGUUUGGGUUCCCCCAAAGCAGAGCCCAAGAACAGGACUUGAGGGCUAGGAGUUCCUUGGGAGGUGGUCUCAGGAGGCAGUGGGAAGAAUGAGACAGGGGAAGCAAGACAGGUCAGUGUAAGGUGAGUUACUGAGGCUGCCUGCCUCUGAGGGCAAUGGACUACCAGAUUCCUCCAAGCCCUCCUGGGAAGAUGGGAAUGCCUGAUCGAACUGUCUGCACUCAGAAUCAGGGCUGUAGGGUGUUUGUCAUCCUGUUCCUGCUGCCUUUGGUUGGAGGUUCCUCCCUGGGACAGGUGUCCAAGCAUCACAGAGGGCACCAUGCUCUGUGCCCCGAGGACGCCUGCACCUGCCUGCACAGCGUCCCCUCUGAGACAGGCUGCUGUGGGUCCUCAGCACAGGAUGAGGAGGAAUCAACCAUUAUUCCUAUUGUACACAUAAGGAACUGGAUCUUUUCCAGCUGGAAAGUGGCAAAGCCAGAGCAGAAACCCAGGUCAGGAUGGUCAGUACUCGGCUGCUGACAUUUCAGAAGUCUCAGGACAGAUCUCAAAGUGGAACGUUUCUUGAGGACCAUGACAUAUCAGACAACUCAAUUUCAUGGCCCUCAAUGACCCACACCUUGGCCAGACCUGGGGAGACCCCAAAGUGUGGGGGUGUUGGCCUGGCUCCUCAGGGCUUCUUGACUGGGGGCUCCCAGAGCCAUCCAGCAUCGCCCUUCUUCCUUCAUAUUGUUCCAAGUCAAACCCCAAAUUCCUGGGCUGGAACAGAAAACCAGCUGGGCCCCCAAAGCCUGCCAGAACAAGUUCGGGUGCCAGGGCUGCCAGGAGCUUUUCAUUUCACUUGGUCCCCUCGUCACUCAUCAUGGGAUCCUGUCCAUAUCCUUGCCUUGUGGGCAUCCGGCCUUUGCUCAUUCACUUCCUUCAUCGAGGAGCUCAUUACCUCCCUUCUAUUUCCAACAACUCCCACUGUAUUUUCCUAACUAAUCCCCCAAGAUACCCCCAGGGGCAAGAAAUGAUUGGUGGGUAAAUAAGUUUGGAAAAAGGCUGCUUGCGAUAAUAUUUACUUAGAGAUUUAUAUGACAAUAGUAGAUUCUGGGCUCUAAGAAACACAGCCAUUGAGAACUUCUUUAACGUUGCCAAACUGAGAUUUAUUUGAUUAUGGAACAAGGAUCUCCUACAAAGCGCCCCAGAACCCUGUAUGUCUUGGAAGAGCUGAGUUGUCAAGUUUUUCCUGAGGUUGGAAUCUCUGCCUGAAGGUUCUUCCUCCUGGCUUCUUGGAUAAGAUCUGAGGUACAAAGACCAAGCCUGGCCCCUGCACAGAUGAGAUGAUCAGAUCUAACCCUUACUGAGCAUGUAGGUGGAUCCAGGCAUUGUGCUGAGUAUGUUACCCAGGUUACCCCUUAACCUUAGCCUUGGUUUAACAGAUGAAAAAAAUGGAGUCUCAGAGGGGUUAACUGAUGUCGCACAGCACUGUGGCAAAACCAUCAUUAAAUAUGAUACUGGGAAAAACACUUCAAAGGAGCUUCUGUCAUGGCUCAGCAGUAGCAAACCUGACUAGUAUUCAUAAGGACACAGGUUUGAUCCUUGGCCUCCCUCAGUGGGUUAAGGACCCAGUGUUGCUGAGAGCUGUGGUGUAGGUCACAGAUGCGGCUGGAAUCCCGAGUUGCUGUGGCUGUGGCUCUGAUUCAAUCCCUAGCUGGGAACUUCCAUAUGCCACAGGUAG